rnacentral:rRNA from 1 species
GCAUUAGCUAGUUGGUGAGGUAACGGCCCACCAAGGCGACGAUGCAUAGCCGACCUGAGAGGGCGAACGGCCACAUUGGGACUGAGACACGGCCCAAACUCCUACGGGAGGCAGCAGUAGGGAAUUUUCGUCAAUGGGGGGAACCCUGAACGAGCAAUGCCGCGUGAGUGAAGACGGUCUUCGGAUUGUAAAGCUCUGUUGCGAGAGAAAAACGACACGGAUAGGGAAUGAUCCGUGGGUGAUGGUAUCUCGCCAGAAAGUCACGGCUAACUACGUGCCAGCAGCCGCGGUAAUACGUAGGUGGCGAGCGUUAUCCGGAAUGAUUGGGCGUAAAGGGUGCGUAGGCGGCCCGUUAAGUCUGGAGUCAAAGCCGGCAGCUCAACUGUCGUACGCUUUGGAAACUGGCGGGCUGGAGUGCAGAAGAGGGCGAUGGAACUCCAUGUGUAGCGGUAAAAUGCGUAGAUAUAUGGAAGAACACCAGUGGCGAAGGCGGUCGCCUGGUCUGCAACUGACGCUGAAGCACGAAAGCGUGGGGAGCAAAUAGGAUUAGAUACCCUGGUAGUCCACGCCGUAAAC